rnacentral:tRNA from 1 species
AGCUUUAUAUUCAUUUAAUGAUAUUAGACUGCAAUUCUAAAGGAAUAAAAAAUUUUUUAUUAAAGCUU